rnacentral:rRNA from 1 species
GAUGAACGCUGGCGGCGUGCCUAAUACAUGCAAGUCGAGCGAACAGACGAGGAGCUUGCUCCUCUGACGUUAGCGACGGACGGGUGAGUAACACGUGGAUCACCUACCUAUAAGACUGGGAUAACUUCGGGAAACCGGAGCUAAUACCGGAUAAUAUAUUGAACCGCAUGGUUCAAUAGUGAAAGACGGUUUUGCUGUCACUUAUAGAUGGAUCCGCGCCGCAUUAGCUAGUUGGUAAGGUAACGGCUUACCAAGGCGACGAUGCGUAGCCGACCUGAGAGGAUGAUCGGCCACACUGGAACUGAGACACGGUCCAGACUCCUACGGGAGGCAGCAGUAGGGAAUCUUCCGCAAUGGGCGAAAGCCUGACGGAGCAACGCCGCGUGAGUGAUGAAGGUCUUCGGAUCGUAAAACUCUGUUAUUAGGGAAGAACAAAUGUGUAAGUAACUAUGCACGUCUUGACGGUACCUAAUCAGAAAGCCACGGCUAACUACGUG